UUUCCGUAGGUGAACCUGCGGAAGGAUCAUUCAUAAUAAAGUGUUUUAUGGCACUUUUUAAAAAUCCAUAUCCAUCUUGUGUGCAAUGUUAGAUCUCGUCAAUCUUGGCGAGAUUUUUAUACAUCAACUCAUUCUUUAACUAAUUUGUCUGAAAAAUAUUAUGAAUACUUAAUUCAAAAUACAACUUUCAACAACGGAUCUCUUGGCUCUC
rnacentral:misc_RNA from 1 species